UCAACACAGAGUCCACACUGGUUUCAUAUGUGAUGAGGAGAAAAGCAAACAGUGGAGAACAGCAGUAGAUACGACACAGAAAAGCAAGAAAGAAAAAUUAAGGACUAAAAGACAGAGCUGUUUCUAAAACAUCAGAUGGUGCACUUGAAAAUAAUACCAUAAAGGCUCAUCAUUUUAAACAAUUAUUGAUUACACCCUGGGGAUUUUUCACCAAUUCCACUCGAUGCUGCUUUUAAAAUGUUCUUUGGCCUGUUAAUGAUUAAAGAUUUGGAUUUCACUCUUUACACUAAAUGUAAGUGUUAACAGGAAAAGAAAACCUAAGAAAC